rnacentral:tRNA from 1 species
GCCUGGGUGGCUCAGUCGGUUAGGCGUCCGACUUCAGCUCAGGUCCUGACCUCACAGCUCGUGGGUUCAAGCCCCGCCUCGGGCU